GACGAAGGAUGCAAGCGUUAUCCGGAUUCAUUGGGUUUAAAGGGUGCGCAGGCGGAUUAUUAAGUCAGGGGUGAAAUCCCACGGCUCAACCGUGGAACUGCCUUUGAUACUGAUAGUCUAGAGUAUAGUUGAAGUUGGCGGAAUGUGUCAUGUAGCGGUGAAAUGCUUAGAUAUGACACAGAACACCGAUCGCGAAGGCAGCUAGCUAAGCUAUAACUGACGCUCAUGCACGAAAGCGUGGGGAUCAAACAGG
rnacentral:rRNA from 1 species